GAGACGUUAGAUCUGAGAUGGAUG
rnacentral:miRNA from 1 species